rnacentral:rRNA from 1 species
AGCGAGCGCUGGCGGCAGGCCUAACACAUGCAAGUCGAACGGAUCCUUCGGGAUUAGUGGCGGACGGGUGAGUAACACGUGGGAACGUGCCUUUUGGUUCGGAACAACUCAGGGAAACUUGAGCUAAUACCGGAUAAGCCCUUCGGGGGAAAGAUUUAUCGCCAUUAGAGCGGCCCGCGUAGGAUUAGCUAGUUGGUGGGGUAAAGGCCCACCAAGGCUACGAUCCUUAGCUGGUCUGAGAGGAUGAUCAGCCACAUUGGGACUGAGACACGGCCCAAACUCCUACGGGAGGCAGCAGUGGGGAAUCUUGCGCAAUGGGCGAAAGCCUGACGCAGCCAUGCCGCGUGAAUGAUGAAGGUCUUAGGAUUGUAAAAUUCUUUCACCGGGGACGAUAAUGACGGUACCCGGAGAAGAAGCCCCGGCUAACUUCGUGCCAGCAGCCGCCGUAA